rnacentral:rRNA from 1 species
UACGUAGGGUGCGAGCGUUAAUCGGAAUUACUGGGCGUAAAGCGUGCGCAGGCGGUUUUGUAAGCCAGAUGUGAAAUCUUCGGGCUCAACUCGAAGUCUGCACGGGAAACUGCGGGGCUUGAGUGUGGGAGAGGUGAGUGGAAUUCCCGGUGUAGCGGUGAAAUUCGUAGAUAUUGGGAAGAACACCAGUGGCGAAGGCGGCUAUCUGGACCGGCAUUGACGCUGAGGCGCGAAAGCGUGGGGAGCAAACAGG